ensembl:lncRNA
GAGCAACCUGUGAGCAGUAACAUUUUACCUUAGGCCUAACUCUAAACUAAACCUAAAGUCUGGAUGGAUGAUAGGAAUAAUCUUUAACAAUGAUGUUAAUCCAGGAUCAAAACUGAGACGCUCGGGCCAAGUAAGAGCCGUUUCGCUGGAGGACUGUGGCCAUGGGGGAUUUUUUGCGUGCUAUCCAGAGGCUGUAAAUACCAGCAGAGCAAGUGUGGUUUAUUUACUCUGGCUGAGACCUCGGCAGCUCGAACCCAGAGACACAGAAAGAGGCUCUGAUAAUCCCACUUCUCUGGAACAUUUGUCUCUGUGACUGAGGUUUUGAUUUCUAGAUCCAGCCCUAAAGGAGCAGAGAUAGAGAUAGCAUGAUGGAUCUGGACUCUCUCUCUCUCUCUCUCUCUCUCUCUCUCUCUCUCUCUCUCUCUCUCUCUCUCUCUCUCU